UCUUCCUCCCUCAAGCUGUACAGGGAAGUUAAUUUGGUGAUGAUGGCAACGGAGGUCCUGGGAGGCUAAUAGCUUUUCCAGACGAGCGCAAACGCACCGUCCUUCCCAGUGUCCUCUUGCGUCCUACACCACGGUCAGGUGACUGUAAAGGAACCCCCUGUGCCUGGAGCUGCCGUCCGAUUGGCCGAGAGCACCCUCUCAUUGCACGUGGCAAUGCCAGAGUCCCCCGACCGGAUGGCAAACCCUCCAGCAGCGUCCGUGUCCUGGGCUUAAUUGGUGUAGCGGUACCUGCGAGAGGCUGCGCUGAUUAAUGCGAAAUGCAGCGUUCCUGCAGAGCGCCUCUUGAUGAAGCCCACAGGGCUCACGCAGCAAGCGUGACAAUGUACAGAGAGGAAGAACCUCCAGCCCUAAAGUGCGGAGGAGGGAACGUAACCUAGUGAGUGUUCCGACGAAAUGAAAUAAAACAAAG
ensembl:lncRNA